rnacentral:rRNA from 1 species
GACGAACGCUGGCGGCGUGCUUAACACAUGCAAGUCGAACGAUGAACCCGGAGCUUGCUCCGGUGGAUAUUGGCGAACGGGUGAGUAACACGUGAGUAACCUGCCCUUGACCCUGGGAUAACUGCGGGAAACUGUAGCUAAUAACGGAUACUCCCCUCGGCGGCUUCGCACGGAGGUGGAAAGGAUUUCGGUCAAGGAUGGACUCGCGGCCUAUCAGCUAGUUGGUGGGGUAACGGCUCACCAAGGCGACGACGGGUAGCCGGCCGGAGAGGGUGACCGGCCACACUGGGACUGAGACACGGCCCAGACUCCUACGGGAGGCAGCAGUGGGGAAUAUUGCACAAUGGGCGCAAGCCUGAUGCAGCAACGCCGCGUGAGGGAUGACGGCCUUCGGGUUGUAAACCUCUUUUAGUAGGGAAGAAGCGAAAGUGACGGUACCUGCAGAAAAAGCACCAGCUAACUACGUGCCAGCAGCCGCGGUAA